rnacentral:rRNA from 1 species
AGAUUGAACGCUGGCGGCAUGCCUUACACAUGCAAGUCGAACGGCAGCGCGGGGCAACCUGGCGGCGAGUGGCGAACGGGUGAGUAAUAUAUCGGAACGUACCCUGGAGUGGGGGAUAACGUAGCGAAAGUUACGCUAAUACCGCAUACGAUCUAAGGAUGAAAGUGGGGGAUUCGCAAGAACCUCAUGCUCCUGGAGCGGCCGAUAUCUGAUUAGCUAGUUGGUGGGUAAAGCUACCAAGGCAUCGAUCAGUAGCUGGUCUGAGAGGACGACCAGCCACACUGGAACUGAGACACGGUCCAGACU